GGGACAAUAGGUCCCCCUCAUUUUCAUUUAUGGCCUCCACCCACAGCUGAUGGGUGGGGGCCUGAGGGGGGCGCUAGGUCCACCCUUCACUUUAGUAACCCCUAUUCGUACGGCAGGGGGGACACUAGGGGGCUUUUUUUUUUCAAUAGUAAGCAAUUCUUACUUAGUAUUAGUAAAUUUGUCUGAAAGACCAAUUUAGGUCUUUCAGCCUUUUGGUAGAUAGCUCUCUAAUACCGUGGGAAUACCAUGGUGCCCAAAAGGUAAAUUCCAACAAGUUUUAAAACUAUGUCCAUGAUGCCAGGCAAAGCAUCAUUGCAGUUGUAGUUCUACGCCAUCUUUGGGCAGCUCUGCUCUACAGUGGUCAUGGUGCUUAGAUUCCUUUUAACCCCUUAAGGACCAAACUUGUGGAAUAAAAGGGAAUCCGUGUCCUUAAGGGGUUAAACAAGGAACCAUGACUGUGGAGCGCUAUCACCGGGCUGUGUCACACACACGGCUUGUAUUGGUAAUGCUGUGUGUAAUGAUGGCGGCCCAGUUUGGUUUCAGUAUAAUCCUCACACUAAUCUUGUCACACGUUCUUAUUUGUCUAAUCUUAAUUCACCGUUACAUGGUUAAUGGGUAACUGUGAGAGAAAUGUCAUGCACGCCGCGAGCAGCGCGAUCACGAACUAACAACGCGUCCUCUCUGAACACCAUCUCGCCCCCGCCCCGCCGGGAAGUUACGUCAGAACGCAGCGACCCGCUUCCGGUCACGCCCCCCGCUGUCUUUUAAGGCCCGUCGCGUAUCGCAGAGAAGCAGCUUUGACAUUCGGACUUCAAAAUGGCGGACAAACCGGGUAGGUUAAUAGCGGUCACUGCAACGGUGCAUGGAGGAGGCAGGCGGCAGUAUUUAAUAACCCCCCCCCCCCAUAGCCGCCCUACCGCACGCUCUGUCUCCGUGACAUUGCUGUGACGGCUUAACCUUGUCACUGUGAUAGGCUCUGCUCCCUGCAGGUUUAUAAAGAUCAUUCAGCAUUCACUGACCUGCACUGCUGAUAUAGAGUGAAAAGAAACCAAGCUAAAGCCACGGUGUCAGUGUAGAGGCUGUGACCUUGGCAAUGUCACCGCUGUUAUCCGGUCUAAUAACUUUGUCUGCCUUUUAUUAUGCUUUAUCCAUAGUUGAUACUGUCUAUAGCCUGCCCACACUUAUUAUCUGCAGUCGGCUGUUGUCCCUCUCCCCACCUUCACUAGUGCUAAUGCAUGAGCUUCUGUUAGCUCUCCUGAGCUAAACCCAGCAAUGCAGGGCUAGUUCAUGCUGAUUGAGCUCUCAGCCAAUAAGCUAAGCCCUGAACUGCAUGGUUUAGCUCAGACAGACAUCAUAAGUAGUGAAGGCAGGGAGCAAGACCUGUCAGAUCCCAGGUAAGAUGUUAAACCAAAUCUAUAGCUCAAUUUAAGUCAGUGAGAAGCCUCUGAUUGGUAAACUCACUGACAAAGGCGCAUCCAAUAGCCGCAGCUGUUGUAAGCUAAUAUACCCUCAAUAAUAGAAACUGCAUCUACCAAUUUUUGUUUUUAUUUAUAUAUAUUUUUUUUUUUAAACCUCACCUCAAUAUGGUGAUUUAUUUCUAAGUUUAUAUUUUUCUCUAUUUUGCUUUUUUGUUUUUCUACCAUCUUCAUUUUUUUUUCUUGUACUUAUAGGACCACUCUAGGCACCCAGACCACUUCAGCUUAAUGAAGUGGUCUGGGUGCCAGGUCCAGCUAGGGUUAACCCAUUUUUUCAUAAUUAUAGCAGUUUCAGAGAAACUGCUAUAAUUAUGAAUGGGUUAAGCCUUCCCCCUAAUCCUCUAGUGGCUGUCUCAUUGACAGCCACUAGAGCGCUUGCGUGCUUCUCACUGUGAUUUUCACAGUGAGAGCACGCGUCCAUAGGAAAGCAUUGUAAAUGCUUUCCUAUGCGACCUGAAUGCGCGCAGCUCUUGCCGCGCGUGCGCAUUCAGCGGGGCGGGGAGGAGGAGAGCUCUCCGCCCAGCGCUGGAAAAAGGUAAGUUAUUACCCCUUUCCCCCUUCCAGAGCCGGGCGGGAGGGGGUCCCUGAGGGUGGGGGCACCCUCAGGGCACUAUAGUGCCAGGAAAACGAGUAUGUUUUCCUGGCACUAUAGUGGUCCUUUAAGUUUAAUUACAUUGUCUUGAUUGCAAUAAAAAAAUACAAGUGUUCCUUUAAUUAGUUACACUAACAAGUAUUACAGUCACAUGCCAUACUCUGAAUUAGUAGAGUAACCUGUCUUAAUCUGUGUUGCUUUAGUGCCCAUUGCAGAGAGACGUUUACUGGAUGUUAAAGUGGGGCAGGUGCCUGCCUGGCUGGCCAGUCGUGACUUUACACCAAAUGGCAUUAUAGCCGGUAUCCGGAAAGGUUAGUAUUGAAUGAACAUUACCAAAUGCUCUACCCCUUUCAGUUAGCGUUGCCAGGCCCAAUGUAUUUUCCUUCAACAUAUCACUUCUUCGUGCUUAUGGGCUGCCUAUAAAACUUGCUCCCUUGCAGUAUUCAUAUUCUACCGGGGGGUGGGGGAAUCCCUUAACCCCUUAAGGACACAUGACGGAAAUAUUCUGUCAUGAUUCCCUUUUAUUCUAGAAGUUGUCAUUAAGUGGUUAAUAUUCCUUUUGGGAUCUGUGCUUGUCUAGUCAGUUGACUUUUAUUGUAAAAUGCUAUAUACUUAGUCACCUUAUGAGGAGUUGUAUGAAAUUUCAAAUUCAUUCCAACAAUUGGGUGCCAAACGUUUCAUUAACCUCGUUCUGUAUAUUUAUUUGUCUUUUUGUUCUUCUAAAGUUCCUUGGGAUUUUUCUUGUUUAAAGGUUAGGCUUAUAUUCAAUGUACUGAUGAAAUCAAACUGCUGUUGCAGGAAAAAGAGACAUUGUCAUGUCUGUAUUUUCUCCAGCAAUAGCAAUUUGCUUUCAUCUAUUCUUAUCUACAUCUAUAUUCAAAUAACCAUUCAUUUUUAUUUUAUUUAUUUUUAUAUAUUUUUACUUCAGGUUACAAUGGAUAUUAUAACAAGUAUAUAAAUGUCAGAAAGGGAGGCAUUGGAGGAUUAACCAUGCUUCUAGCUGGCUAUGUAGUGCUGAGUUACGUCUGGGAGUACGAUCACAUAAGUAAGUAACACUUCCAUACCUCCCUUUUUGAGGGUUUUUACCUGGUGUCCAAACAGACACCAGUAAAUUUUGCUAAAUUAUUUUUGUAAAGGGACACUCCACUGCUCAAAAAGUAAUAAAAAUCACCCAUGCCAAAAGUCCAAUGCAGCUCCAAAAGUCUUUAUGCGCAAAUUGUUUCUGCAACCAGUGAUGGAACUGGUUGGUUGAAUAGUAAGGGGGGGUGGGGGUUGUAACUGUGUUAAAGUGACAGUGUUUAUUGAAUCUGCACAUUUUGUAAGAUAGAGGGUUGGGGAAGAGGACACGUUCUUCAAACAUAGAGCACUUCAGCAAGCUGCAGUGCGUCUAUGGUCUGGAGUGUACCUUUUAAAGAACUUGUGUAAACUGGUUUCCUGGCUGUAUCAAUGCUGAAGCAGAUAAAUGUGAAUGAAUUAAAGGCCUAUGUUAAGAAGUAUAAGGAAAGGAUUGACUACCUGGAAGAGAAAUUUGUUUCUCUACAUUGCAAAGUAAAUGCUACAGGAAACUAUUUAAUGAAGUCAACAAGCUCUGUGUUCUCCUCUUUAAAUGCUUGACAUUCUACUGGAGAGUGUGAAAAUGUGUGCCUUCCCUUUCAGCCACUAAUAUGUAACCAUCCUUCCUCUUAAUAUAUUGCCUAAAAGAUUUUUCAAUCUCUCUGGCACAAAUCGCACCAACCAUUUUCACAUGUAGUACUUAGGAGAUACCUAUUUCUACUGACUGAAAGUGACCACAAAAUAAAGAAUUGGCAGACUCCUUGUACUAAAUCUAUUUAGUCUUCUUAAGACUUUUGCUGUUACUAAAAGCUUAAUUUCCUAUCAAAUUAAUUGUGCAAAACUGUAGUUCACAUAGCGUCUUUAUUUUUGUCAGUUUAAAAAAGGCAUCCAUUUUCAUUUAAAAAAAAAAAAAAAAAAAAGGUUGAAAGCUGUGUGAAAAAUAACCUUUCAAAUUCUACAUCUUUGCAUUAGUAGCUGGAAACCUAAAAGACUGGUUUCAGCAGUUCCCAAAGGGACUUUACUCAGUCGAUGCCUGACAUUCACUGCUGAUGAUCAAAUUCAGUUUAUGUCUAUAUCUCUUUUCGUUUACAUAGAAUGUAUUUGUAGCAGACACUUAAAUACACACUAGAAUUCAUUUCAGCGCAUAAUUUGGACUUAUCUCUAAUUUAAAUUUUGGAGUUUUGCCCAUUUAAAUUUGGAACAUUUUUUGUGUGUAGUUUGUGUACCUUUUACUGGACAAUGGCAGCCCCUACCAAAAGCUUUUAUGUUAAGUGAAAUUUGUAGUUACUGUGAGCAUUUUGUAUUGCAGAACACGACCGUUCGAAGAAGUAUCACUAAGCAAUCUGUGGUUCUAAUUGGCAUCUAUUCCUUGUACAGUGAAGCUUGUUCAGACCAAUAAAUCCUAUUCUACUUCACA